GUAAAAUUUUCCAUAAAGACGAAAUUCCAGUGAGAUUUCCAUAAAAAAAAUAUUUCCCAUGAAAUUUUUAUACCCUCCACCAUAUUGUAACUCCUCGAAAUAAUCGUCUAAGACCUCGCAGAGUAUAUAUAUUCUUGAUCGUCAUCACAUUUGAAGUCGAUCUAACCAUGUCCGUCCGUGUGCAUCCGUUCGUCUGUCUGUCGAAAGCAUGCUAACUUUCGAAGGAGUAAAGGUUGCGGAUAUUUCGCCCUGAAUGUGUACAUCGAAUUCGUUCUACUUUAGCCUAUGUCCGCCUAUAACGCUGAACGCCUGUGUUCCAAUCAUGGGGAUAAAAUCGGACAAAACUUAAUGCGGUGGUGAUACCCUCUUAAUGCUGGCGACAUUUGCCAUGCAUGGUCAUGUAAAAAAUUCGCCAAAGAGAUGUCGCACUACGACAUGCCAUUCGGACUCGGCUAUAAAAAAAGACCCUAAUCAAGGUUAAACUUGAAUCCAGAGACAUUGUCCCAAUUUCCCGAAAACCAAGCAAUUUAAACAUCAAAUAGCUUUUAUAUAAUAAGGGAGAUGUUUUUGGGUGGGGCAGUUCCUCAAUAGAAACCAUGUUUUGUUUUGACUGUGAGAGUGCAAAAACAAAA